AUGGGCGCAAGCCUGAUCCAGCCAUGCCGCGUGUGUGAAGAAGGCCUUCGGGUUGUAAAGCACUUUCAGCGAGGAGGAAGGGUGUUGUGUUAAUAGCACAGCAUUUUGACGUUACUCGCAGAAGAAGCACCGGCUAACUCCGUGCCAGCAGCCGCGGUAAUACGGAGGGUGCAAGCGUUAAUCGGAAUUACUGGGCGUAAAGCGCACGCAGGCGGCUUGUUAAGUCGGAUGUGAAAGCCCCGGGCUCAACCUGGGAAUUGCAUUCGAUACUGGCAAGCUAGAGUAUGUGAGAGGGGGGUAGAAUUCCAAGUGUAGCGGUGAAAUGCGUAGAGAUUUGGAGGAAUACCAGUGGCGAAGGCGGCCCCCUGGCACACUACUGACGCUCAGGUGCGAAAGCGUGGGGAGCAAACAGGAUUAGAUACCC
rnacentral:rRNA from 6 species